CAGUCGCCGCGGUAAUACGGAGGGGGCUAGCGUUGUUCGGAAUUACUGGGCGUAAAGCGCACGUAGGCGGUUUUGUAAGUCAGAGGUGAAAGCCCGGAGCUCAACUCCGGAACUGCCUUUGAGACUGCAUCACUUGAACGUCGGAGAGGUGAGUGGAAUUCCGAGUGUAGAGGUGAAAUUCGUAGAUAUUCGGAAGAACACCAGUGGCGAAGGCGGCUCACUGGACGACUGUUGACGCUGAGGUGCGAAAGCGUGGGGAGCAAACAGGAUUAGAUACCCCGGUAGUCCCUGUCUCUUAUAC
rnacentral:rRNA from 1 species